rnacentral:rRNA from 1 species
UACGUAGGGUCCGAGCGUUGUCCGGAUUUAUUGGGCGUAAAGAGCUCGUAGGCGGUCUGUCGCGUCGGAUGUGAAAGCCCGGGGCUUAACCCCGGGUCUGCAUUCGAUACGGGCAGACUAGAGUGUGGUAGGGGAGAUCGGAAUUCCUGGUGUAGCGGUGAAAUGCGCAGAUAUCAGGAGGAACACCGGUGGCGAAGGCGGAUCUCUGGGCCAUUACUGACGCUGAGGAGCGAAAGCGUGGGGAGCGAACAGG